UACGGGGGGAGCAAGCGUUGUUCGGAUUUACUGGGCGUAAAGGGCGCGUAGGCGGCCACCGCAAGUCGGUUGUGAAAUCUCCGGGCUUAACCCGGAAAGGUCAAUCGAUACUGCGGGGCUAGAGUGCAGAAGGGGCAACUGGAAUUCUCGGUGUAGCGGUGAAAUGCGUAGAUAUCGGGAGGAACACCGGUGGCGAAGGCGGUUCUCUGGGCCUGUACUGACGCUGAGGAGCGAAAGCGUGGGGAGCGAACAGG
rnacentral:rRNA from 1 species